rnacentral:rRNA from 1 species
CAUCACUACGCUAGAUGCAUAUCAAUAAGCGGAGGAAAAGAAACUAACAAGGAUUCCCCUAGUAACGGCGAGUGAAGCGGGAAGAGCUCAAAUUUGAAAUCUUAAAGGGUUUUCCCUUUACGAAUUGUAGUUUAAAGAAGUGUUUUCUGUUGGAGUUUCGGUAAAAGUUCUUUGGAAUAGGACAUCAUAGAGGGUGAUAAUCCCGUAUUUGACCGUUACUUUCCAGCUGUGUGAUACACUUUCAAAGAGUCGGAUUGUUUGGGAAUGCAGUCCAAAAUGGGUGGUAAAUUUCAUCUAAAGCUAAAUAUUGGCGAGAGACCGAUAGCGAACAAGUACCGUGAGGGAAAGAUGAAAAGAACUUUGAAAAGAGAGUUAAACAGUACGUGAAAUUGUCAAAAGGGAAGCGUUUGACACCAGUGUUGUUUAGUUGAAAAUCAAUUCAAUAAUUUUUGAUUUUAAGUAGUAUUGACUUCAUCAGCUUGCUGCUUUCUUUUCAGGAAUUAUUGAAUGCACUUUUCAGUUAACAAGUCAACAUCAAUUUCUUUUGUUGUAAAAGGGUAAGAGGAAGGUGGCUUACGCUUCGGCGUAAGUGUUUAUAGCCUUUUACCUCUGCAAUCGGAGAGAUUGAGGACAGCAGCGUAGACUCUUCGGGGUUAGAUACACUUGUGCUAAGCUAUAGCCUUUUCAUAGACAACUUGUUGACUAUGCUCUAGUCAUGUAGCUUACUCGCUUAUGCUAUUUUACCUACGCUUAGGAUGUUGACACACGCGCGUGCUCG